rnacentral:rRNA from 1 species
GUGGGGAAUAUUGCGCAAUGGGCGAAAGCCUGACGCAGCAACGCCGCGUGGGGGAUGAAGGCUUUCGGGUUGUAAACCCCUUUCAGUGAUGACGAAAAUGACGGUAAUCACAGAAGAAGCCCCGGCCAACUACGUGCCAGCAGCCGCGGUAACACGUAGGGGGCGAGCGUUGUCCGGAUUUAUUGGGCGUAAAGAGCUCGUAGGCGGUUGCGUAAGUCGGAUGUGAAAACUCAGGGCUCAACCCUGAGAUGCCAUUCGAUACUGCGCUGACUAGAGUCCGGUAGAGGAGCAUGGAAUUCCUGGUGUAGCGGUGAAAUGCGCAGAUAUCAGGAGGAACACCAGUAGCGAAGGCGGUGCUCUGGGCCGGUACUGACGCUGAGGAGCGAAAGCAUGGGUAGCAAACAGG